GGAUCGCAGGCCGGGGGAACGAGAUUGGCUGAAUUGGUUCUCGAGCUCAUCGAUCGUCAGCGUACCUGUUAUUCACUGUAUAAAGUCCUCUAAAUGUCCAUAUUUUGUAUUCUGGAGCUGAAAUUAUGGCCAUACUUGCAACAUUUUUCAACCAUGCGAACAUCAGAAUAUAUCCGAAUAACGAUACGCUUAUUCACGCUUGAUUUUAAGCCAUUUUAAUCCCGUCUCGAAAAACGUUGUUUUUGAGGAUCAUAAGACUGCUAAUUUAUAGAGGCC
rnacentral:lncRNA from 1 species